UCGAGAAUCUUUCGCAAUGGGCGCAAGCCUGACGAAGCGACGCCGUGUGUGUGAUGAAGGCCUUCGGGUUGUAAAGCACUUUCGCUAGGGAACAAGAGAAGCUAGCUAAUAUCUAGCUAAUUUGAGGGUACCUGGUAAAGAAGCACCGGCUAACUCCGUGCCAGCAGCUGCGGUAAUACGGAGGGUGCAAGCGUUAAUCGGAUUUAUUGGGCGUAAAGAGCGCGUAGGCGGGGUGGACAGUUAGAUGUGAAAGCCCGGAGCUCAACUCCGGUCCCGCAUCUAAUACUACCAUCCUGGAGGAUGGACGGAGAAAAGGGAAUUCCACGUGUAGCGGUGAAAUGCGUAGAUAUGUGGAAGAACACCAGUGGCGAAGGCGCUUUUCUAGUUUAGACCUGACGCUGAGGCGCGAAAGCAAGGGGAGCAAACAGGAUUAGAUACCCCCGUAGUCC
rnacentral:rRNA from 1 species